UACGUAGGGGGCAAGCGUUGUCCGGAAUCAUUGGGCGUAAAGAGCGUGUAGGCGGCCAGGUAGGUCCGUUGUGAAAACUCGAGGCUCAACCUCGAGACGUCGGCGGAAACCCUCUGGCUAGAGUCCGGAAGAGGAGAGUGGAAUUCCUGGUGUAGCGGUGAAAUGCGCAGAUAUCAGGAAGAACACCCGUGGCGAAGGCGGCUCUCUGGGACGGUACUGACGCUGAGACGCGAAAGCGUGGGGAGCAAACAGG
rnacentral:rRNA from 1 species